rnacentral:rRNA from 1 species
CCAGACUCCUACGGGAGGCAGCAGUGAGGAAUAUUGGUCAAUGGCCGUAAGGCUGAACCAGCCAAGUAGCGUGAGGGAAGACUGCCCUAUGGGUUGUAAACCUCUUUUAUGCGGGGAUAAAGGUGUCCACGUGUGGAUGUUUGCAGGUACCGCAUGAAUAAGGACCGGCUAAUUCCGUGCCAGCAGCCGCGGUAAUACGGAAGGUCCGGGCGUUAUCCGGAUUUAUUGGGUUUAAAGGGUGCGUAGGCGGAAUGCCAGGUCAGGGGUAAAAUCGCGGGGCUCAACCUCGCUCCGCCGUUGAAACUGGGGGCCUUGAGUGGGCGAGAAGAAGGCGGAAUGCGUGGUGUAGCGGUGAAAUGCAUAGAUAUCACGCAGAACCCCGAUUGCGAAGGCAGCCUUCCGGCGCCCUACUGACGCUGAGGCACGAAAGUGCGGGGAUCGAACAGGAUUAGAUACCCUCGUA